CCGUUUUCGCCGCUAUUUUGAUGGCCGUUUUUUGUUAAGCUUUUAGAUUUGGGUAAAGCCAAACUGGAGAAAAUGCACUCGGUUCAGGUGGGGUUAAGAGGUUACAAAGUUAAUUGCGUACCAUAGCGCAUUGAGUUGCCUUGUGUACGAAAUGCGCUAUGGUAUAAAGUUGCCUUGCCUAUGUCGAGCGGUAAAGUGAAUGUGUGAUACCAAUUGACAAAUUAGGAGAAAGUUACGGCAAAAUAACGUAAAGAUUUGAAAAACCGUCCCUGUUAAAUAUCCACAAAAAACAAAACGCUUUUUAAUGAGCUUACCAAAAUAUGCCAAAUUUUAUGUUUACUCAAUGCGAAAAGAUAUUCAUCUCAAAGAGGCCUAAAUGCAAUCGUUGUAUAGAUGCAAUAAUAAUAUUAACAACCCUGUUUGUUUCCACCUGUCUUGUCACCUGGUUCUAUGCCCCGCCCAUGGGCCCACCCCUGAAAAAACACAUGGUCAAGUGAACGCGUAGAGCAAUCGUCCCAACCUCGUGGAUUCUGUAUACGCGUCCGUCGAUUGAAAUUAUACAGUACGGAGGGACCAGAGAACAUGUUUCUUUCAGAUGAAAUCUAUAGAGCCAUUGUGGUUUAUUUGCUCUUGAGGAGAGAAAGGAUGAGACAAGAAGAAAGUGAAUUCGAAUCCGAAGAAUCUUGUUCCGAAGACGGUGAGGAUGAAAUGAAUCCAACCGAAAUGCGAGGAAACGGAGACACUUAUGGUUUGAGCAAUGACGGCUUCCCCGCUGACCCUCCCACUAUUUCCACUGAUAACUCCACUGUCCCCUCCUCUGCCCAGCCCAAUGCCACCUACACGGUUCCCUCCGUUACCAAGUCUACUGCCACCACUUUCCCCUCCACUGCCCAGUCCACUACUCUGAACCCCUGCCCUGUGUGCUGCCAGCCCCUCUCCUCCUCCUCUGGUGCCGUUCCCCAACAGCAGCACAGUAGUGGAAGUGGAAGGGGCCAAGGCGGCGGCCGGCGAUCGAAGCCCUACACACCACUGUGGCUGACUGAGCGGAGAGAGGAGCGGAGAACGAGAGAGCGUCUGGCUGGCAUCGAGUGUCUGAAGGAGCAGCUGAAGCAGAACGGCCAAACGCAGAGAGCGCGGAUCCAACACAAUACAGAGGUCGUCACCGCAACGAUCCGGGCAAUCGUGCAGAUCAAAGAGGCGAGGCUGAACCCACAGCCAAGUGACCGUGAUGAAGACCGUUAG
rnacentral:lncRNA from 1 species